rnacentral:sRNA from 1 species
CGGUCGCCUCCGACCUCGGCGCUGGGCGGGCGCGCCGGGCCUGGGGAAGGGGCGGGUGCGGGGACCCGAUGCGCGGGAGCGGAGGCCGAGAUGGCUUCGGCGGGAGGCGAAGACUGCGAGAGCCCCGCGCCGGAGGCCGACCGUCCGCACCAGCGGCCCUUCCUGAUAGGGGUGAGCGGCGGCACUGCCAGCGGGAAGUCGACCGUGUGUGAGAAGAUCAUGGAGUUGCUGGGACAGAACGAGGUGGAACAGCGGCAGCGGAAGGUGGUCAUCCUGAGCCAGGACAGGUUCUACAAGGUCCUGACGGCAGAGCAGAAGGCCAAGGCCUUGAAAGGACAGUACAAUUUUGACCACCCAGGACUCUGAAGAACAUCGUGGAGGGCAAAACGGUGGAGGUGCCGACCUAUGAUUUUGUGACACACUCAAGGUUACCAGAGACCACGGUGGUCUACCCUGCGGACGUGGUUCUGUUUGAGGGCAUCUUGGUGUUCUACAGCCAGGAGAUCCGGGACAUGUUCCACCUGCGCCUCUUCGUGGACACCGACUCCGACGUCAGGCUGUCUCGAAGAGUUCUCCGGGACGUGCGCCGAGGGAGGGACCUGGAGCAGAUUCUGACGCAGUACACCACCUUCGUGAAGCCGGCCUUCGAGGAGUUCUGCCUGCCGACAAAGAAGUAUGCCGACGUGAUCAUCCCGCGAGGAGUGGACAAUAUGGUUGCCAUCAACCUGAUCGUGCAGCACAUCCAGGACAUUCUGAAUGGUGACAUCUGCAAAUGGCACCGAGGAGGG